rnacentral:rRNA from 1 species
AUCCUUAGUUGCCAGCGAUUCAGUUGGGCACUCUAAGGUGACUGCCGGUGAUAAACCGGAGGAAGGUGGGGAUGACGUCAAAUCAUCAUGCCCCUUAUGACCUGGGCUACACACGUGCUACAAUGGCGCAUACAAAGGGCUGCAAACCCGCGAGGGGGAGCCAAUCCCAUAAAAUGCGUUCUAGUUCGGAUUGUAGGCUGCAACUCGCCUACAUGAAGCCGGAAUCGCUAGUAAUCGUGGAUCAGCAUGCCACGGUGAAUACGUUCCCGGGCCUUGUACACACCGCCCGUCACACCACGAGAGU